rnacentral:rRNA from 1 species
UACGAACCGUCCAAACGUUAUUCGGAUUCAUUGGGCUUAAAGGGUACGUAGGCGGCGCUAUCAGUCGGGUGUGAAAUCCCUCGGCUCAACCGAGGAACUGCGCCCGAUACUGUAGUGCUUGAGGGAGUCAGAGGUAAGCGGAACUGAUGGUGGAGCGGUGAAAUGCGUUGAUAUCAUCAGGAACACCGGUGGCGAAAGCGGCUUACUGGGUCUCUUCUGACGCUGAGGUACGAAAGCUAGGGGAGCGAACGGG